UUCCACUCAACCGUCAUCCUCCCUACUCUGUGCAUAACGGGCGGGGCCCAGCCUCGCCGUCUCAUUGGCUCUUCCGGAUGUCCAUCAAAGCUCGAGUUUGGGCCCGCAGUCUGGCCAACCGCGGAGACGGUAGAGGGCGGGCCUUAAAAGUUUGGCGCUCGACUUGGAGCUUCCUGGAAAGGGGGUGGGGUGAAGGGAAGGGAAAAAGAAGGAGGACUGAGAUGAGAAAGGGGGUUUCUGAAAAAAGAGUAAGACUUGAAGAAGAAACCAACAUGUAGAGGAGUUGACAUCUCCAUUAUGUCACUAUCCUUAGUUUACUACACUAAAGACUGGAGAAUUUCCCCUUGGAUUUGUUCUUCGAUUACCAACUGGAUUUUUUCCUGAAAGAGCCAGCUUAAUUCUCAUCUACCUCAACAAGGUAUCAUCCAGGAUUUCAGAAAUUCAGGUUUUCAGGGGGGAAAUGGUGUGGAAUGGGCGGGACAUCUAACUAAUACAGAAGAAAUCUGCUCUAGGUAAAGAUAAAGAUGCAGAUGAAAAGGAAUGGAAGAUAACAGGGACAAUCUCAGGAAGAAAGAAUGCAGGGGAUGCUACCAGAAGAAAGGUAGCUCCCAGAGAAGAUGAAGGGGAACUAAAGGCAGAAGGGAAGCUUAAGGAGAAUGACCUUGACUUGUCUCAGCCCCAUUUAUUCCCCUCUUUUAAAUGUUACCCCAUAGAAGAUGUCAAGAGACAUGUUAACAACCAAGUGUCCUUGUACUAAUUAUACCUAAUGUUUCAAUGAUAACACUAGGCUUGGAGCAGAUAAACAAGAUCUUAGAGUCAUUUGAGAAAUAAAUGCUGUGUGCACGAAUGUUUGUGGCAGCCCUUUUUGUAGUGGCUAAAAACUGGAAACUGAAUGGAUGUCCAUCAG